rnacentral:rRNA from 1 species
AUGAAGAGUUUCGGAAGAGAAAUGGUUACUGUGAAAAGGCAGACGUGGAGUGGAAGCCACAUGCCCUUGAUUUCAAGCACAAGAAUCUGGUUAAGCUAUGGCUUCCAACCUGCCGACAUCUUUGUGCGAUUCAUCAGGUGUGUCAUGGAACAUGCGGUUAAUAUGGUGGAGAUAUGUCUGCAUGACAGGAAGAUAUGUCUACGCUGUGGUGACUUGGAUACCAAGAUGAAGUGCCCAUCGAGAUAUCCACGGAACGCUGAUGAGCGCAUGCAGAUCAUUGAAGAAUUGGGGAUGUCUUUGCCUGUUCGCUUCUUGUCAUAA